UGAGGAAUAUUGGUCAAUGGGCGAGAGCCUGAACCAGCCAAGUCGCGUGAGGGAAGACGGUCCUACGGAUUGUAAACCUCUUUUGUCGGGGAGUAAUAGGCGGGACGUGUCCUGCUGUGAGAGUACCCGAAGAAAAAGCAUCGGCUAACUCCGUGCCAGCAGCCGCGGUAAUACGGAAGGUCCGGGCGUUAUCCGGAUUUAUUGGGUUUAAAGGGAGCGUAGGCCGGAGAUUAAGCGUGUUGUGAAAUGUAGUGGCUCAACCUCUGCACUGCAGCGCGAACUGGUCUUCUUGAGUACGCACAACGUGGGCGGAAUUCGUGGUGUAGCGGUGAAAUGCUUAGAUAUCACGAAGAACUCCGAUUGCGAAGGCAGCUCACGGGAGCGCAACUGACGCUGAAGCUCGAAAGUGCGGGUAUCGAACAGGAUUAGAUACCCUGGUA
rnacentral:rRNA from 1 species